AGUGAACGCUGGCGGUAGGCCUAACACAUGCAAGUCGAACGGCAGCACAGUAAGAGCUUGCUCUUACGGGUGGCGAGUGGCGGACGGGUGAGGAAUACAUCGGAAUCUACUUUUUCGUGGGGGAUAACGUAGGGAAACUUACGCUAAUACCGCAUACGACCUACGGGUGAAAGCAGGGGAUCUUCGGACCUUGCGCGAUUGAAUGAGCCGAUGUCGGAUUAGCUAGUUGGCGGGGUAAAGGCCCACCAAGUCGACGAUCCGUAGCUGGUCUGAGAGGAUGAUCGGCCACACUGGAACUGAGACACGGUCCAGACUCCUACGGGAGGCAGCAGUGGGGAAUAUUGGACAAAGGGGGCAAGCCUGAUCCAGCCAGACCGCGUGGGUGAAGAAGGCCUUCGGGUUGUAAAGCCCUUUUGUUGGGAAAGAAAAGCAGCAGGUUAAUACCCCGCUGUUCUGACGGUACCCAAAGAAUAAGCACCGGCUAACUUCGUG
rnacentral:rRNA from 1 species